rnacentral:misc_RNA from 1 species
GUGAGUCAUCGAAUCUUUGAACGCACAUUGCGCUCCCUGGUAUUCCGGGGAGCAUGCCUGUCUGAGCGUCAUUACAACCUUUGCGCUCUGCGCAGUGUUGAGCGCAGCCUCCUGGGCUCGCUUCAAAUUCAGUGGCAGCACCGCAGAGCCCCUACGCGCAGUGAUCACCGCCGCCGGUGGAGCGCUGCGAGUGCUCGCCAGUCAACCCCCACUUGCUAGGUUGACCUCAGAUCAGGCAGAGAUACCCGCUGAACUUAAGCAUAUCAAUAAGCGGAGGA